rnacentral:rRNA from 1 species
UGGCGGACGGGUGAGUAACGCGUGGGUAACCUGCCCUGUACAGGGGGGACAACAGUUAGAAAUGACUGCUAAUACCGCAUAAGCGCACAGGACCGCAUGGUCCGGUGUGAAAAACUCCGGUGGUACAGGAUGGACCCGCGUCUGAUUAGGUAGUUGGCGGGGUAACGGCCCACCAAGCCGACGAUCAGUAGCCGACCUGAGAGGGUGAUCGGCCACAUUGGGACUGAGACACGGCCCAAACUCCUACGGAAGGCAGCAG